CCAGGCCCUGCAGCUUUGUCGGGUAAGAAUCAUUCAGGCCGGGCGCGGUGGCUCACGCCUGUAAUCCCAGCACUUUGGGAGGCCGAGGCGGGCGGAUCAUGAGGUCAGGAGAUCCAGAACAUCCUGGCUAACACAGUGAAACUCCGUCUCUACUAAAAAAUACAAAAAAAAAUUAGCCAAGCGUGAUGGCGGGCGCCUGUAAUCCCAGCUACUCGGGAGGCUGAGGUAGGAGAAUGGCGGGAACCCGGGAGGCGGAGCUUGCGGUGAGCAGAGAUCGCGCCACUGCACUCCAGCCUAGGCCACAGAGCGAGACUCCGUCUCAAAAAAAUAAAAGGAUCAUUCAGGUAAAGCAGAUAAGAAUCACCAAUACCUUGAGGUGGAAGCACGCCUGACAUGGUUGAGAAACAACAGAGAAGCCGGCGUCCUGAGUGCGAGAUGGAGUCUUGCUCUGCCACCCAGGCUGGAGUGCAUUGGCAUGAUCUUGGCUCACUGCAACCUCCACCUCCCAGGUUCAAGUGAUUCUCCUGCCUCAGCCUCCCAAGUACCUGGAACUACAGGCGUGCACCACCAUGCCCGGCUAAUUUUUGUAUUUUUAGUAGAGACAGAGUUUCACCACGUUAGCCAAGCUGGCCUCGAACUCCUGACCUCAGUCAAUCCACCCGCCUCGGCCUCCCAAAGUGCUGGGAUUACAGUUUCCAUAGUAAUGAUCAAAUCAAAGAAAUAUAGAAAACACCUAACAUUGCUGGAAACUGAAGAGGUGUUCAACUCAUUUAUCCGACCUUGAAGCCAGUAGAGUGCAGGAGACAUCUGAGUGUUGUCAAGGAUCAACAAAUCUGGAUACUAGUUAAUGUGACGAAAUUUCGCUCUUGUUGCCCAGGCUGGUGUGCAAAUGGCACGAUCUCGGCUCACCACAACCUCCGCCUCCCGGGUUCAAGCGAUUCUCCUGCCUCAGCCUCCUGAGUAAGCUGGGAUUACAGGCAUGUGCCACCACGCCAGGCUAAUUUUGUAUUUUUAGUAGAGACAGCAUUUCUCCAUGUUGGUCAGGCUGGUCUUGAACCCCUGACCUCUGGUGAUCCGCCUGCCUCGGCCUCCCAAAGUGCUGGGAUUACAGGCGUGAGCCACUGCACCUGGCCUAACUGUAAGAUUUCUAAAGUAACUGCUCUAAAAGGAAUUCAGGAGCCUAUCUGUUACCAAGUUUUUUGUUGUUGUUGUUGUUUUGAGACAGAGUCUCGCUCUGUUGCCCACGCUGGAGUGCAGUGGCGCGAUUUCGGCUCACUGCAAGCUCUGCCUCCUGGGUUCACGCCAUUCUCCUGCCUCAGCCUCCCAAGUAGCUGGGACUACAGGCGCCCGCCACCAUGCCUGGCUAAUUUUUUGUAUUUUUAGUAGAGACAGGGUUUCAUCGUGUUAACCAGAAUGGUCUCGAUCUCCUGACCUCGUGAUCCGCCCGCCUCGGCCUCCCAAGGUGCUGGGAUUACACGCAUGAGCCACCACACCUGGCCUGUUAACAAGUUUUAACUGGAACAAAAAGUAAAUUCUCCUAGCAGCAUUGGGCUUCCUCAGGCUGGCCUUUUAAGUAGUGCUGAAUCAUCCUAUGGACCUUGCCUUAGGCUACUAGAAGGCGUGCUAGAGUUUGCCAAGUCUCUAGUGCAGAGAUUUGGGAGGAGUUGUUAUAUGAUGAGGGCUCUGCAGUUCUGACAGUCUAACACCUAUCAAAAUGGAAGAGAGCUCAAGAGAGUACAUAAAUGAGCUUCCCGCCUUACUUAAGCUGCCACAAAAGUUUUACUAAGUUUUUGUAGACAUGUUGCAAAGUGGUAAUGUGGAUCUUAAUCUCAACAUUCAUCAGUGUUUCAGUCCUAUAAUGCAGUGCUUGGAAAGCAGCGUAUGAGGUUCAGGACAUGCAACCCCAAAAUAUGGAUUCUUGGCAUUUGAGAAAACAGCAGAAUCAGGAAAUUCACUCUCACACCUUUCCCCGUCUUUCUGCCCUGAAGCAGAUCAUAAGACCCUUAUUUUAGAAGUAUUGUUUCCUAGAGGAAAGAAACUUCCUUAUCUUUGAAGAUACAGAGAUGCCAAGAAGAAUCUGAACAAAUUAGUCUUGCUAAGCUCCCUCCAGUUUAUUAGCAUUAGAUCAUACCCUCCUUGUCCAACGUAGGGGAGAAAAAGUAGUAUCUUUUCCUUGCCCAUCACCAGGUUCGUGACUGAGACCCCUAUAACAAAAGACAGAUUAACAAAACAAAAGCAUGUAAAUGUUAUACGACAAGAGAGCCUUCUGAAAUGAAGACGCAGGGAAAACUGAGUAUUUCUACGGACAGUUAUGCAGAAGUAUGACUGGAGAACAAAAGGGUAUAAUCUAAUGGUAAUAAGCUGAGUAGAACUUAACAAGGCCUGUUUGUUCAGGUAACUUCUAUUAAAUAAAUUUGGAUGCUAUUCUCUUGUUGAUCUAUGUUUUAUUGUAGAUGCCGUGAACCUAGCAAUGAGUGAGGAAAAGGAAUCUUUCACCCCUACAAAGGGAUACCAUGGAAUUUCUCAAACAGUGAAUACAUUGGCUCCAGGAAAAAGGGUCGACCUCUUAAAUAGAAAUAGAGAACUAGAGAACAAUAAUGAGGGGAGUACCUUGCAGUCAGUAAUAAGAAGCUGUCUUUACUAUCAAAUCAGACCUCCAGUGGGAGAGUUUUUCCCUAUAGUGACUUUGACUGUCACCCUGUGUUUAAUCACAAUCCUAUGAAAACAGUUAACUCUCUAAGUGGUCAAAGAAAUUUUUCAAUAAACAUAAACUUUAGUCUAAUUCUCAUUAUUCUCCUUUUUUGUCUCUUUGUCUAAAAUAAAGCAAUUAAACAUUAAUUAUGCAAAUCAUUGACAAACUAGAAAAACAAUACCCUUCGUAUUUCAAGACAGUGGGAGAGAUAGGCUGGGUAUUCAGAGAAAAAUACCCCUCAUUAAAUGUUAAUGCAAGAAACAGGUGGAAGGCCGAGCAUGGUGGCUCAGGCCUGUAAUUCCUACACUUUGGGAGGCUGAGGCAGGUGGAUCACCUGAGGUCAGCAGUUUGAGAUCAGUCUGGCAAACAUGAUGGAACCCCAUCUCUACUAAAAAUAUAAAAAAUUAGCUGGGUGGGGUGGCAGGUGCCUUUAAUCCCAG
rnacentral:lncRNA from 1 species